GAUGAACGCUAGCGAUAGGCUUAACACAUGCAAGUCGAGGGGCAUCGAGGGUAGCAAUACCUGUCGGCGACCGGCGCACGGGUGAGUAACGCGUAUGUAACCUGCCCGCAACAGAGGGAUAACCCGGCGAAAGUCGGACUAAUACCUCAUAAAACAGGGGUUCCGCAUGGGACUAUUUGUUAAAGAUUUAUUGGUUGCGGAUGGGCAUGCGUACCAUUAGGUAGUUGGUGAGGUAACGGCUCACCAAGCCAUCGAUGGUUAGGGGUUCUGAGAGGAAGGUCCCCCACACUGGUACUGAGACACGGACCAGACUCCUACGGGAGGCAGCAGUGAGGAAUAUUGGUCAAUGGGCGAGAGCCCUGAACCAGCCAAGUCGCGUGAAAGGAUGACUGCCCCUAUGGGGUUGUAAAA
rnacentral:rRNA from 1 species